rnacentral:misc_RNA from 1 species
AUAUGACUUUCAGUCAAGGCAGAAACAGAAAAUUCUUCUUCGGUUGGACCAAUAUCAUUUUCAUAAGAGUAAACAACAUCCUCUGCAGCAACAGCAAACUCGUCUUUGUCCUCAUUAGAGUUGCCAACACCUUCAACUACAGAAUCAGCUGGAAGUUUCGAAGUCAUUGGCUUCCCAACAGAUUCCAUUCGCAUCGACGGAUUCAAGCUACUCAAAGCUCUUUCUUCACCACUCUUGCUUUUGUUUCUAGGAGAAAAUGAACUGGAAGGAACCAAAUUAAGCCUCUCCGUGGAAUUCGACAAUAGUAUCUUAUCAGUCCGAUUUAAACUCGAAUCCUCAUUCAACCACUCAUUCGAAA